GGCUGGUCCGAAGGUAGUGAGUUAUCUCAAUUGAUUGUUCACAGUCAGUUACAGAUUGAACUCCUUGUUCUACACUUUCCCCCCUUCUCACUACUGCACUUGACUAGUCUUUU
rnacentral:Y_RNA from 4 species